GAAGACCCAUAUCUUCGCAAUCACGCAAUUAAUCAAAAAUCGCCACGAGGAAGUUGAGGAGAAUUCUUUUAAGAACAACAGAUAUGAAUUUCAUGGAAAAAAAAACAAAAAACCGCUUGCAGAAAAGCUCUGAAGUAACCCCAUAUGUUUGUUUACAAAUUUCAUGUGAUGAAGCGUUUUGCGCAUUCUGAUUGGCUUAGGGCAAAAAUGUAAACAAAAGCGCUGA